rnacentral:rRNA from 1 species
GAUGAACGCUAGCUACAGGCUUAACACAUGCAAGUCGCGGGGCAGCAUGGGGGUUGCUUGCAAUCCCCGAUGGCGACCGGCGCACGGGUGAGUAACGCGUAUCCAACCUGCCCUUCACCACGGGAUAACCCGGCGAAAGUCGGACUAAUACCGUAUGUUGUCCAUUGACGGCAUCCGAUUUCGACGAAAGGUUUGGCGGUGAAGGAUGGGGAUGCGUCCGAUUAGCUGGACGGCGGGGUGACGGCCCACCGUGGCGACGAUCGGUAGGGGUUCUGAGAGGAAGGUGCCUCACAGUGGAACCGGGCAACGGGCGAGACACAUACGGGAGGCAGUCGUGCGGAAUAUUGGUCAAUGGGAGUAAGCCUGAACGAGCCAAGUAGCGUGCAGGAUGACGGCGCUAUGGGUUGUAAACUGCUUUUAUGAGGGGAUAAAGUGGCGCAAGUGUGGGUUUUUGAAGGUACCGGAUGAAUAAGGACCGGCUAAUUACGUG